AUACACAGAAAGCCUGGGCAAGGGAAGUUUUCCAGGAUGAAACAUGGGAAGCUCCUGCUGAUGAGCCUGUAGGACCUUACAGUUCUUUGUGUGUCUGCUUGAAAUGGCUGCACAGGAGCUGUUCACCUGAUUGCUAGGGAUGACGUCAGGAAGGAAUUCUUCCCCUCCAUCUGAUCACAAAGGCUGAUUCUUUCAUCUUCUGUGAUUCGAGGCUUGGAUUCCCUCCUGGAUGUGUCCGCAAUCACACUCUCUGCUGUUGUUAGGACCUGAUACGUCGGCAUGGCUCUCGCUCUCUCCUCAUCAGUUUACUUUCUAACAUCCUGAAAGCUUCAUCAUGACUGCUCAGUGCACCUCACCCUGGGCUGAGAUUAAAAGUUAAAAAAGAGAAAGAGUGAACACAACGGGAGAGAAAACAGAAGAGAUUUUGGCAGCAACCUGGUGACACACUGAAAGGCCUUUGGGGUAACAGAGAACAGCAAGCAACUUGUGAUCCACAAAGGAGAAUGGCAGCAAAAGCAACAGGAUUGAACUUCUGCCAAUAGUGGUGAUGAAUAAAUGUGAUGUCCUUUUGACAGCUCAGACUGGAGCUGGAAUUUUCUCUGCUCCCAUCCUGGUUGAACUCUCUCCUGAGAAAGUCAGUCUGUCUGUAUGGAAGGAGCAAGACAAACGCUUGGACAUGAGUCCCAGCUUUGCAGCUGCAGAAUGUCACCAUGAAUGUCCAUUGGCAAACUGGAUAAGAAAGAGUGUCACACUGCAGGACAACCUAGAAGAUGACAGGUCUGUGAGAAUACACACCCAAUGCAGAGGACCUACUCAUUUUUUCAUGGAUACCAAGGAGAGUCAGAUACAUGGAUACCAAAGAGGAGUCACUGAUACCAAAGGUGAGUUCAGGGAGAGUUGA
ensembl:lncRNA